CCUGCCAAGCCCGGUCGUUCAACAGGCUCAACAGGCAGGGCCUGAGCCCUAGGGAAGCCAGGUUCCGCACCGCGCCUGGGGAGGGGGACGGUGGGCAAGGUAGGCGUGCACCUGCCCCCGGGGCGCUCUGAGCCAGGCCGAGAGGUGGCCCCCGUGCCGCGGCGACUCUCGCAAGGUGGGACACGAUGUGAAAGGCCAAGUGCUGGGGGAGCCCAGGGGAGGCGCCUGACUCCAGCCGGGGCAGGACAGGCCUUCACAGGGACAGCUCUGUCUAAGGUGGGACCUCGCAUGAGUCAGGACGAGCGAGGCCGGGCUGCACUAACAAACAGGCUCCAGACUGAGGGUCUCAACACAACAGAGUUCGGUUCUUUCCUCUCGUCUCGGGCCAGCAAGGGUCUUCUUGGUGGGUCCCCUCGAGCAGCGACGCGGGGAUCCAGGUCUGUGGUGGGAGCGAGGCACCCGGUUCGAACUGCCUCGACCCGGAUGGCAUCUGGAGAGACCGAGGGCCGCAGUUCCAGGGAAGCUGAGGGAGGUUUCCCCUGAACCCAAGAAGAGGCAACGGAGUGAGACCCACAGAGCCCCAGGUCAAGCCGGAGGAGGAGGCCUCCGUGGAAACCCCAAAAGGUCUGCGUUGGGGGAGCUUCCGGCUGGUGGACCCACGGAGGCGUGGAGGAACUUUUCCCCUGACGGUGCGCGGAAACUCCGCGCCCCCCGCCCCGCCUCAGCUUUAUGCCUCUCUCCCAUUGGAGAGUUGCGUCCCGUUCUUGAGUUCUGUCCUCUUGUACUAAACCAGGAAUCUGGAAAGUGAACUCUUUGUGUUGAGUGAGUUCCAUGAGCCUUUCUAGCAAUUCUCAAGUCUCAGGAGGAGGCGGUGGGAACCUCUGAUCUACAGCCGGCCGGUCGGAAGCACGGGUGACAGCCUGGGCUCGCAACAGGCAUCUGAGUGGGGACAGUGUUGGGGGACCGAGCCCGUCCCCUGUGCAGUACGGACAGGUAGACAGCAGCAGAACUGAGUUCAUCUCCAGACCCAGCUGGUGUCUGGAGAGCCUGACAAUCGCUCGGUGUGGAGAGGGACCCGCACAUCUCUCUGGUGGCCAGAGUGUUCUAGAAGGUUCUAGAAGGUUCAUGGCGAACAGAAGGGUUUGGGUGGCCAGAAGUGAAGUUCUGAGAGUGGAAUUUAGGAACACGGAAGAGCCGCUUCAGCACUUUCAGUGCGGUGUUUCAACUCACUUACAUAAAGUGCAGCGAAGGUCUUCUGAGGGGGAACCCUGAGGUUGGGGCCCGGGGAUGGGAAGCAGCCAGCGAUGUGGGAAAUGGAGCGAAAGGCAUUCCGGGCAGGGGGAGCAGUAAGUACAAAGGCCCUGGGGCAGGAAAGGAUCCAGGUUGUUGGAGGCACGGGAAAGAAUGCAGCGAGGCUGGUGUACCAGGAGCCGCGGGGGGAGGGACGUCCAGAGAGGCCACUGCAGCAGUUAAGAUUCGGGGCCUUAAAAGGCUCUAGAAGAAGGGUAGGGUGCAGGCAGCGACAGCACUGAGUUCCCCCGGGCGGUGGUGGGUUGGGAGCGGGAGACACGGAGCAGGGAAGGGUGGCCUGGCUUAGGUGAGGAGCUGGGUGCGGGCAGUGAGGCCCGGGGACGUUGACAGUGGACUCCGGCCUGCCACCUGGGCAGAGACAGUGGUGCAUUUGCAGAGCAGGGAAGGCAGGACAGGAGCAGGGGAGGCGAGGGGGCCGGUACCCGUGAACCAGCCAAGCGGGACGCGGGUGGCGGGUCGGGUGACCCGCAGCUCUGGGACGGGGCUGACGGAAGUCUGCCAGAAACGUAGUGGCAGAUCUCCUCUCUUCUGGAAAGACAUCGUCACCAGUACGCCAGGCCUAAGCGGGUGGGGAAGAAAAGAGACCAACAGGCCUUUCGAGCGGGGCGCGGCGAGGGCGCCCCCAGUGCACGGACAAAGGCACCAAGGCUCAGAGCGGGGAGCAAAGCCAGGAAAGCUCCCCGUGUACUUGGCAUGUGUCGAGUGCGCCCCCGGCCUCGACGUGUCCGGUCGGCACAACAACCCCAGAAAACGGUGAGGAGGGUGAUAUCCCUGUUUACAGAGUGAGAAAGUGAGGCACCGAGAAAUUCGACAAGGUCCCGGGGCCACCUGAGAGGCCAGUGGCUGGCCCGAGGUUCGACCCAGCCCAACCGACCUCACAGCCCCUGCAGUCACGCCCCAGGUGACACGGCCACCAGGCUGGACGCGAGACGGCCGCCGGCUUUCCUGACGCGGGGUGCCUCGAGGACACUCGGAAUUGCAGAGCCUCUAGCCGCCAGGGAAGGUACUGGCUCACGUCGGAAAUUACGCCUUGCGUGAAACCGGGGUCGAACCGCGCCCUGGCUGUCACCCGCUGGCAUUCCCGGGCACGAGACCUCUCAGCCCGGUCCCCGGGGCUUGUCGGCAGAAUUACCACGCCCGGAACAUAGGACCCGCUGCCUUAGCUCAGAAGACGCGUGCUGAUUAAAAUAUCCUGUGCCACCAUGUGGAAACUGCAGACGGGCCCCCACAGCCGGCCCCCUGCUGAGGGGCACAGCCGUGGGGCCAGGGUGACGCGAGGGCCCUGGAGGUCAGACUGGGAAGAGCGGACCCCACCAGUUGAGCCCGGUCAUCGCACGUGAGCCCUACGGCCGCCCUGCAAGCGAGUCCCUGUCUCCAUCCUGCAGACGAAGAGAUGGGCCCCAAAGCGGAAAAGCCACCUGCCUGAGGCCACCCGGCCAGCGCGCGGCACAGCCAGCCACAAACCCAGAGGUGUGGACUCUAUUCACCUCUUCCGCAAAUACAUCUUGAGUCGGGCUUGUUCGGAGCCAGGUUCCGGCACAGGGGCUGGGAAUAAAUAAAUUUAAAAAAAUGACUCUA